CCCCUGUGACCCAGUUCCUCCAAUGAGGAUCCCCCUUCUCCAAUUUCUACCACCUCUCAAUCAAACCAUCAUAUUAUGAGUCAAUCAAUGGCUAAUCCACUGGUGAGCUGCCAUGAGGAUGCAGUGUCAACUGUGUUCAGGACAUCCUUAAGUUGUGGUAUUCAUGUUCACCCUGGGCCUAGAAACAAUAGAUCCAGAUGACUGGUGUUAACCCUCUGAAACAGCAUUAUAUGUGGAAUGCGAUUCAAAAUGGCUGGAGAUAUUUUACUGUCCACAUAAGAAUGAAGCCAAUACAUAGAGGAAAGAAGAGUCAGUAGACUCAUAGGAGGAAGAAAUACAAUCUGAAAUAUUUUCUUCCCAUGGACUUCAUGUUAUAUGAGAGAAUAAAACUUCUGAUUUUGAAGACAA